rnacentral:rRNA from 1 species
CCUACGGGUGGCUGCAGUGGGGGAUAUUGCACAAUGGGGGGAACCCUGAUGCAGCGACGCCGCGUGGGUGAAGGAGCGUUUAGGCGCGUAAAGCCCUAUCGGCAGGGAAGAAGAUGACGGUACCUGACCAAGAAGCCCCGGCUCACUACGUGCAAGCAGCCGCGGUACUACGUAGGGGGCAAGCGUUAUCCGGAUUUACUGGGGGUAAAGGGGGCGCAGACGGCAAUGCAAGUCAGGAGUGAAGACCCGGGGGCCAACCCCGGGACUGCUCUUGGAACUGCAUGGCUGGAGUACAGGAGGGGCAGGCGGAAUUCGUAGUGUAGCGGUGAAAUGCGUAGAUAUUAGGAGGAACACCGGUGGCGAAGGCGGCCUGCUGGACUGUGACUGACGUUGAGGCCCGAAGGCGUGGGGAGCAAACAGGAUUAGAUACCCGGGUAGUC